rnacentral:rRNA from 1 species
AACGAACGCUGGCGGCGUGCCUAACACAUGCAAGUCGGACGAGAAAGUUUCCUUCGGGAAGCGAGUAAAGUGGCGCACGGGUGAGUAACACGUAGACAACCUGCCUUCCAGUCCGGGACAACCUUUCGAAAGAAGGGCUAAUACCGGAUAACACUUUGGGCCGCAUGGCCUGGGGUUGAAAGAUUUAUCGCUGGAAGAGGGGUCUGCGGGACAUUAGCUAGUUGGCGGGGUAACGGCCCACCAAGGCGACGAUGUCUAGCGGGUCUGAGAGGAUGAUCCGCCACACUGGAACUGAGACACGGUCCAGACUCCUACGGGAGGCAGCAGUGGGGAAUUUUGCGCAAUGGCGAAAGCCUGACGCAGCAACGCCGCGUGAGUGAAGAAGGCC